rnacentral:rRNA from 1 species
GAUGAACGCUGGCGGCGUGCCUAAUACAUGCAAGUCGAACGCAUUGUGGUUGAAAUGAUAUGAAGAACUUGUUCAGAUUUGAUUUUCAACAUUGCAAUGAGUGGCGAACGGGUGAGUAACACGUGGGAAACCUACCUCUUAGCAGGGGAUAACAUUUGGAAACAAAUGCUAAUACCGUAUAAUAAUUAAAACCGCAUGGUUUUAGUUUAAAAGAUGGUCUUGCUAUCACUAAGAGAUGGUCCCGCGGUGUAUUAGUUAGUUGGUGAGGUAAUGGCUCACCAAGACAAUGAUACAUAGCCGAGUUGAGAGACUGACCGGCCACAAUGGGACUGAGACACGGCCCAUACUCCUACGGGAGGCAGCAGUAGGGAAUCUUCCACAAUGGACGAAAGUCUGAUGGAGCAACGCCGCGUGUGUGAUGAAGGGUUUCGGCUCGUAAAACACUGUUGUAAGAGAAGAAUGACAUUGAGAGUAACUGUUCAAUGUGUGACGGUAUCUUACCAGAAAGGAACGGCUAAAUACGUGCCAGCAGCCGCGGUAAUACGUAUGUUCCAAGCGUUAUCCGGAUUUAUUGGGCGUAAAGCGAGCGCAGACGGUUAUUUAAGUCUGAAGUGAAAGCCCUCGGCUCAACCGAGGAAUUGCUUUGGAAACUGGAUAACUUGAGUGCAGUAGAGGAAAGUGGAACUCCAUGUGUAGCGGUGAAAUGCGUAGAUAUAUGGAAAGACACCAGUGGCGAAGGCGGCUUUCUGGACUGUAACUGACGUUGAGGCUCGAAAGUGUGGGUAGCAAACAGGAUUAGAUACCCUGGUAGUCCACACUGUAAACGAUGAGUGCUAGUUGUUCGAGGGUUUCCGCCCUUGAGUGACGAA